rnacentral:rRNA from 1 species
CGGCGGACGGGUGAGUAACGCGUGGGUAACCUGCCUCAUACAGGGGGAUAACAGUUGGAAACGGCUGCUAAUACCGCGUAAGCGCACAGUACCGCAUGGUACGGUGUGAAAAACUCCGGUGGUAUGAGAUGGACCCGCGUCUGAUUAGGUAGUUGGUGGGGUAACGGCCUACCAAGCCGACGAUCAGUAGCCGACCUGAGAGGGUGACCGGCCACAUUGGGACUGAGACACGGCCCAA